AGCGAACGCUGGCGGCAGGCCUAACACAUGCAAGUCGAACGAACUCUUCGGAGUUAGUGGCGGACGGGUGAGUAACACGUGGGAACGUGCCUUUUGGUUCGGAAUAACUCAGGGAAACUUGUGCUAAUACCGAAUGUGCCCUUCGGGGGAAAGAUUUAUUGCCAUUAGAGCGGCCCGCGUCUGAUUAGCUAGUUGGUGUGGUAACGGCGCACCAAGGCGACGAUCAGUAGCUGGGCUGAGAGGAAGAGCAGACACACUGGGACUGAGACACGGCGCAGACUCUUACGGGAGGCAGCAGUGGGUAAUCUAGCGCAAUGGGCUAAGGCAUGACGCAGCCAUGCCGCGUGAAUGAUUAAGGUCUGAGGGUUGUAAAAGUCUUUCACCGGGGAGGAUAAUGACGGUACCCGGAGAAGAAGCCCCGGCUAACUACGUG
rnacentral:rRNA from 1 species